rnacentral:rRNA from 1 species
UACGGAGGGUGCAAGCGUUAUCCGGAUUCACUGGGUUUAAAGGGUGCGUAGGCGGGCAGGUAAGUCCGUGGUGAAAUCUCUGAGCUUAACUCAGAAACUGCCAUGGAUACUAUUUGUCUUGAAUGUUGUGGAGGUAAGCGGAAUAUGUCAUGUAGCGGUGAAAUGCUUAGAUAUGACAUAGAACACCAAUUGCGAAGGCAGCUCGCUACACGAAUAUUGACUCUGAGGCACGAAAGCGUGGGGAUCAAACAGG